AUCAUAGACAAUUAAGUAUUCAUCUUGCUCAUAACUCCAACCGAUCAACAGAACAACGCUCGUGCAAUCCAUCAGGCUCAUGAUUUUCAGUUCUGUUGUGAAAACUUCUCUUGCAUACUUGUGUCUGCUGCAGAUUCUAUUGACGGUAAACUAUCUUAUCAGAAUUGCUAAGGUACCCUCUGUAGACACUUGCAGUACCUCCUCUUCCCAACAUAUUUUCACUUGAAAAGUUCUCCGUAGCUUAAGCUAGUUCUCGGUUAAGGUAACUUCUUACACAAAAUAUCACUUGCAAAAUCCUCACUCGUAUGAGAGAUUCUGUUUGUUGAUUUGCUUGUGUUCAUCUUGUGUAUCUCUAGGAGUAAUGCGGAUGCACUAGCUGCAGUCAUGAGGACACAAAUCACAACAAUAAAUUUCCGAUUAGCAUUUCCAUGCUUAUAUUUCAAAAGUGAACCUAAACGGCUUUCUAAAUAAAAAUUAUUCAAAGCCAUUUCAAUUUUUUUUGUAUCCAUCAAAUUUUGACUCCAGGUGAUCACUAUCCCCAUCCAUUGCACCUCCAUGCUUCAUGUUGCUACAGUAGAAGCAUUCAUUGACAACUGAAGUAAUCAGAACUUUUUUCCGGUCAUUACCAUGCUGCCACACCCCACGCAGGUAUGUUAUAUUAGCUAAGGUGGACAUCCGAACAAAAGCUGCUUCCACUUGUAUCAACUCAGAACUAAUAUUCCAAGAAACUUGAUCAUAGCUGGAGUUCGGAUUGUAGCUUGCUAUGGUACAUGUUCUUUCGUCAGCGUUUAUGUCCCUUGUGAUGGCCUCACUCUUAACAGCUUUGGAUAUGCACUUGAGGGUAUCAAGCAUGGUGACCCUAGCAAGAGGAUUAUCCUUGCAGGUGAGAGUGCCUCCACAGGAAAAAUUGCUGCCUUGUCAAAGGGGACUAGACAUGUUUGACAAAAAUGGAUCGACUGUGGGAAGAAGAACGAGAAAGACUGACAAUCCGAAAAGAAAGAAGACAGCAUUAGGAUGCAUGGACAAAAGAAUGAGUUGAACAGACAAUUGGAUUCUCAGUAAUGCAGAAUCAAAGUGCAGUGGUGAGUGUUGUUUUUGUACUUCAUAUACUAAUAGUAGGAAG
rnacentral:misc_RNA from 1 species